rnacentral:lncRNA from 1 species
CACAUAUUAAGAUAACUUCAAACACUCAACUUUUCUUGAACCAAAAUUUUGUAGUGGUUCCGUUUAUCAUGAUUGGUCAUCAUAUUGCACACUUUCUCAAUUGUUUAUGACUUGCAGCUUCUUCGAUCCCACUCUUUAUUCUUGUAGCUUUUUUUCGCCCCUUUGUUUGCGAACAAAGUAAUGCUAGUGUCGAUGAAAUUAUUCUCGUAGUUCUCCCCCUUCGAGUUUUUGGCAUACCCUUCACAAAUUCUACACCUUCCCAGCAGAGUCACCAAAGAAAUGUGGGUAAGAAAAUCGUACAUUGCUAGUGUUAGAGUUUCAUGUUGGCUGAGGAGAAGAGAAAUCCACGAAGAGUACAAAAUUGAUUGAUGAAUUGAAAAGGGAGAAGAACAGGUGAAUGAUUACUUCAAUGACACGUAGCAAAACUCUUAGGAUCCGAGAUCCCUGUUAGGAUAGCAAGGAUCUAGAAAGCCUUCUUGAGUGUGCUUCGGGUGAGAGAAUUUUCAAGUCUUCAAGUCCUCCAAAAGAUC